GGCAGCUUAGCUCUGUAGCUGAAGCAUUUGUGAAGGUCAGUGAUGUCCCCGAGUCCCUGAGAGGCCGAGUUCUAUGUGCCCAACUGGAACUGGAAGACGUGAGAUUCUGUCCUGGACCCGAAAUGGUCACCAGGCUCUUCUUCUGCGCAGCUGUUUGCCUCCUGUGGGCAGGACACCUGGAUGCCGAAGUUACCCAGAGCCCAAGAAACAAGGUCACAGGGACAGGAAAGAAGGUGAUACUGAGUUGCAACCAGACUUAUGACCACAACUAUAUGUACUGGUAUCGACAAGAUCCGGGUCACGGGCUGAGGCUGAUCCAUUACUCCGCGGGUGUUGGGGUCAUCGACAAAGGAGAGGUCCCUGAUGGGUACAGUGUCUCUAGAUCAAAACAAGAAGACUUCCCCCUCACGCUGGAGUCGGCCACCCCCUCCCAGACAUCUGUGUACUUCUGUGCCAGCAGUGAACCCACAGUGCUGCACGGCCGCCUCCUCUCUGCACAGAAAGUGUCAGUAGAAAUCCUGAGGCUGCGCUCUGAUUCCUGGCCCAAACCCAAAGGAGUCCCUGCCAGUGUGGGGGCCUUAUGGCACUGGGCAUGA